GGGUCGCUAGCUCAACCUGGCAGAGCAACGGACUCUUAAUCCGCAGGUUCAGGGUUCGAAUCCCUGGCGACCCACGA
rnacentral:tRNA from 1 species